rnacentral:rRNA from 1 species
GACGAACGCUGGCGGCGUGCCUAAUACAUGCAAGUCGAACGCAGUGGGGACGGGUGAGUAACACGUGGGUAACCUCCCAUCAGAGGGGAUAAACCUUGGCAACAGGUGCUAAACCGCUACUGAUGGAUGGACCCGGGGUGCAUGAGCUAGUUGGUGAGGUAACGGCUCACCAAGGCCACGAUGAAUAGCCGACCUGAGAGGGUGAUCGGCCACACUGGGACUGAGAAAAGGCCCAGACUCCUACGGGAGGCAGCAGUGGGGAAUCUUCGGCAAUGGACGAAAGUCUGACCGAGCAACGCCGCGUGAAUGAAGAAGGUUUUCGGAUCGUAAAACUCUGUUGUUAGAGAAGCGGUAUCUAACCAGAAAGCAACGGCUAACUACGUGCCAGCAGCCGCGGUAAUAC